GACGAACGCUGGCGGCGUGCCUAAUACAUGCAAGUAGAACGCUGAAGAGAGGAGCUUGCUCUUCUUGGAUGAGUUGCGAACGGGUGAGUAACGCGUAGGUAACCUGCCUGGUAGCGGGGGAUAACUAUUGGAAACGAUAGCUAAUACCGCAUAAAAUUGAUUAUUGCAUGAUAAUUAAUUGAAAGAUGCAACUGCAUCACUACCAGAUGGACCUGCGUUGUAUUAGCUAGUUGGUGAGGUAACGGCUCACCAAGGCGACGAUACAUAGCCGACCUGAGAGGGUGAUCGGCCACACUGGGACUGAGACACGGCCCAGACUCCUACGGGAGGCAGCAGUAGGGAAUCUUCGGCAAUGGGGGGAACCCUGACCGAGCAACGCCGCGUGAGUGAAGAAGGUUUUCGGAUCGUAAAGCUCUGUUGUAAGAGAAGAACGGGUGUGAGAGUGGAAAGUUCACACUGUGACGGUAUCUUACCAGAAAGGGACGGCUAACUACGUG
rnacentral:rRNA from 1 species